rnacentral:rRNA from 1 species
AUUGAACGCUGGCGGCAGGCCUAACACAUGCAAGUCGAGCGGUAGCACAAGAGAGCUUGCUCUCUGGGUGACGAGCGGCGGACGGGUGAGUAAUGUCUGGGAAACUGCCUGAUGGAGGGGGAUAACUACUGGAAACGGUAGCUAAUACCGCAUAACGUCGCAAGACCAAAGAGGGGGACCUUCGGGCCUCUUGCCAUCAGAUGUGCCCAGAUGGGAUUAGCUAGUAGGUGGGGUAACGGCUCACCUAGGCGACGAUCCCUAGCUGGUCUGAGAGGAUGACCAGCCACACUGGAACUGAGACACGGUCCAGACUCCUACGGGAGGCAGCAGUGGGGAAUAUUGCACAAUGGGCGCAAGCCUGAUGCAGCCAUGCCGCGUGUAUGAAGAAGGCCUUCGGGUUGUAAAGUACUUUCAGCGGGGAGGAAGGUGUUGAGGUUAAUAACCUCAGCAAUUGACGUUACCCGCAGAAGAAGCACCGGCUAACUCCGUGCCAGCAGCCGCGGUAACAC